rnacentral:rRNA from 1 species
GUGGAUUAGAUACCCCGGUAGUCCACGCCCUAAACGAUGCCAACUAGGUGUUGGGGAAGGAGACUUCCUUAGUACCGUAGCUAACGCGUGAAGUUGGCCGCCUGGGGAGUACGGUCGCAAGAUUAAAACUCAAAGGAAUUGACGGGGACCCGCACAAGCGGUGGAUGAUGUGGAUUAAUUCGAUGCAACGCGAAAAACCUUACCUACCCUUGACAUGCCUGGAAUCCUGCUGAGAGGUGGGAGUGCCCGAAAGGGAGCCGGGACACAGGUGCUGCAUGGUCAUCGUCAGCU